AUUGAACGCUGGCGGCAGGCCUAACACAUGCAAGUCGAGCGGAGCGGCGGACGGGGGAGUAAUGCCUAGGAAUCUGCCUGGUAGUGGGGGAUAACGUCCGGAAACGGGCGCUAAUACCGCAUACUAUCAGAUGAGCCUAGGUCGGAUUAGCUAGUUGGUGGGGUAAAGGCCUACCAAGGCGACGAUCCGUAACUGGUCUGAGAGGAUGAUCAGUCACACUGGAACUGAGACACGGUCCAGACUCCUACGGGAGGCAGCAGUGGGGAAUAUUGGGCAAUGGUCGAAAGUCUGAUCGAGCCAUGCCGCGUGUGUGAAGAAGGUCUUCGGAUUGUAAAGUACUUUUAGCGGGGAGGCGUUACCCGCAGAGGAAGCACCGGCUAACUCCGUGCCAGCCGCCGCGGUAAUAC
rnacentral:rRNA from 1 species